GUUAGUGUAGCUUAUUUAAAGCAUGGCACUGAAAAUGCCAAGAUAGAUUUUAAUAAAUCUCACAAACA
rnacentral:tRNA from 1 species